UAGAAAUUAGUUUUAAUUCCAAAAAUGUUUAGUUGUCAACUAAAGGAUAAUAAAUUGAUUAUUAUUUUUUU
rnacentral:tRNA from 1 species